GUCGAGCGAGAAAGGUUUUCGGACUGAGUAAAGCGGCGGACGGGUGAGUAACGCGUAGGAAUCUACCCAGUAGUGGGGGACAACUUAGGGAAACUUAAGCUAAUACCGCAAACGCCCUGAGGGGGAAAGCGGGGGAUCUUCGGACCUCGCGCUAUUGGAAGAGCCUGCGUUAGAUUAGCUAGUUGGUGGGGUAAAGGCUCACCAAGGCGACGAUCUAUAGCUGGUCUGAGAGGAUGAUCAGCCACACUGGGACUGAGACACGGCCCAGACUCCUACGGGAGGCAGCAGUGGGGAAUAUUGCGCAAUGGGCGAAAGCCUGACGCAGCCAUGCCGCGUGUGUGAAGAAGGCCUUCGGGUUGUAAAGCACUUUCAAUUGGGAGGAAGGGUUUAACGUUAAUAGCGUUGAAUCUUGACGUUACCUUUAGAAGAAGCACCGGCUAACUCCGUGCCAGCAGCCGCGGUAAUACGGAGGGUGCGAGCGUUAAUCGGAAUUACUGGGCGUAAAGCGCGCGUAGGCGGUUUGUUAAGUCGGAUGUGAAAUCCCCGGGCUCAACCUGGGAACUGCACCCGAUACUGGCCGACUUGAGUGCGAGAGAGAGAGGUAGAAUUCCAUGUGUAGCGGUGAAAUGCGUAGAUAUAUGGAGGAAUACCGGUGGCGAAGGCGGCCUCCUGGCUCGACACUGACGCUGAGGUGCGAAAGCGUGGGUAGCAAACAGGAUUAGAUACCCUGGUAGA
rnacentral:rRNA from 1 species